rnacentral:rRNA from 1 species
GGGGAAUAUUAGACAAUGGGGGAAACCCUGAUCUAGCAAUGCCGCGUGAAUGAAGAAGGCCUUAGGGUUGUAAAGUUCUUUCGCCUUUGAAGAUGAUGACUGUAGAAGGAUAAGAAGCACCGGCUAACUCCGUGCCAGCAGCCGCGGUAAUACGGAGGGUGCAAGCGUUGUUCGGAAUUACUGGGCGUAAAGGGCGCGUAGGCGGUCUUUUAAGUUAGGCGUGAAAGCCCCAGGCUCAACCUGGGAACUGCGCUGAAUACUGAAGGACUUGAGUGCGAGAGGGGAAAGUGGAAUUCCUAGUGUAGAGGUGAAAUUCGUAGAUAUUAGGAAGAACACCGGUGGCGAAGGCGACUUUCUGGCUCGCAACUGACGCUGAGGCGCGAAAGCGUGGGGAGCAAAC